UGGGGAAUAUUGCACAAUGGGCGCAAGCCUGAUGCAGCCAUGCCGCGUGUGUGAAGAAGGCCUUCGGGUUGUAAAGUACUUUCAGCGGGGAGGAAGGGAGUAAAGUUAAUACCUUUACUCAUUGACGUUACCCGCAGAAGAAGCACCGGCUAACUCCGUGCCAGCAGCCGCGGUAAUACGGAGGGUGCAAGCGUUAAUCGGAAUUACUGGGCGUAAAGCGCACGCAGGCGGUUUGUUAAGUCAGAUGUGAAAUCCCCGGGCUCAACCUGGGAACUGCAUCUGAUACUGGCAAGCUUGAGUCUCGUAGAGGGGGGUAGAAUUCCAGGUGUAGCGGUGAAAUGCGUAGAGAUCUGGAGGAAUACCGGUGGCGAAGGCGGCCCCCUGGACGAAGACUGACGCUCAGGUGCGAAAGCGUGGGGAGCAAACAGG
rnacentral:rRNA from 1 species